rnacentral:siRNA from 1 species
ACACCGGAUGGCAAUGUGGUGUA